UACGGAGGGGGCGAGCGUUAUUCGGAAUUAUUGGGCGUAAAGGGCGCGUAGGCGGCGCGGUAAGUCAAAGGUGAAAUCCCUCGGCUCAACUGAGGAACUGCCUUUGAGACUGCCGGGCUCGAGGCCGGGAGGGGGUAGCGGAAUUCCCAGUGUAGCGGUGAAAUGCGUAGAUAUUGGGAGGAACACCAGUGGCGAAGGCGGCUACCUGGACCGGUUCUGACGCUGAUGCGCGAAAAGCGUGGGUAGCAAACAGG
rnacentral:rRNA from 1 species